AGUAACGCGUGGGCAACCUGCCCUGUACAGGGGGAUACCAUCUGGAAACAGAUGCUAAUACCGCAUAAUCGCAUCAGCCCGCAUGGGCAGAUGCGGAAAGGGAGAAAUCCCGGUACAGGAUGGACCCGCGUCUGAUUAGCCAGUUGGCAGGGUAACGGCCUACCAAAGCGACGAUCAGUAGCCGGCCUGAGAGGGUGGACGGCCACAUUGGGACUGAGACACGGCCCAGACUCCUACGGAAGGCAGCAG
rnacentral:rRNA from 1 species